GACGAACGCUGGCGGCGUGCCUAAUACAUGCAAGUUGAGCGCUGAAGGUUGGUACUUGUACCAACUGGAUGAGCAGCGAACGGGUGAGUAACGCGUGGGGAAUCUGCCUUUGAGCGGGGGACAACAUUUGGAAACGAAUGCUAAUACCGCAUAAAAACUUUAAACACAAGUUUUAAGUUUGAAAGAUGCAAUUGCAUCACUCAAAGAUGAUCCCGCGUUGUAUUAGCUAGUUGGUGAGGUAAAGGCUCACCAAGGCGAGGAUACAUAGCCGACCUGAGAGGGUGAUCGGCCACAUUGGGACGGAGACACGGCCCAAACUCCUACGGGAGGCAGCAGUAGGGAAUCUUCGGCAAUGGACGAAAGUCUGACCGAGCAACGCCGCGUGAGUGAAGAAGGUUUUCGGAUCGUAAAACUCUGUUGGUAGAGAAGAACGUUGGUGAGAGUGGAAAGCUCAUCAAGUGACGGUAACUACCCAGAAAGGGACGGCUAACUACGUG
rnacentral:rRNA from 1 species